GAAAUGUGUCACAGGGAAGCGAGUCUGGGAGAAGGGAAAAUGCCUGCAGUCCAGGACUAAUUUCAAGGUUUACAACACUUUACACACUCUGCAACUCCUGGUAAUCCAGGGACUACUCCUUUGGCAGCGUUUGCUAUUCGAUGCCUCCAGACGAACUGAAGCUGCAAAAACGAGCUCUUCAUUACAACGAUAUGUUUUUUAGGAAGAGAUAGGAUUUCACUUGUCAACUGACCCCGUCACCAUGAGUCAUUUAAUGUUGGUGAAUCCAGCCACGAUUUUUCGUAUCUAUAACACCUCUUCUUCCAUUGUAUUCUGUCUACAAAUAACUGAAGGCUCACAUUAUUUUGGCAUAUGGACCUCGCCUCUUGUGGAGACUUGAGAUUGCUCUUAAGCUGAUUUCCCAAACGGGCUUCAACGUGUGUUCCCCAUUUUAGAUUCAUGGAGCUCAAAAUGAGUCCUUUGGUUCCGUGGUUCAGAACAGUCUCCUUGUUCAUUCCCCAAACUCAAUGUUCCAAGAUCUCUUGUGCUUGUGCCAGUGUCUCAUGUAGAAUAUUGCCUGAUCUCUGCUCAACAGUUUGAGUCACAAGGUUGGUGCCUUCGCAGAUGAUAGAAUAGAAGCUCCCUGAGUACCUGAGUCCAUCUUUGCUGUUUCUAACGUAAAGAUUAUUAAAAUGUCAAGGGAAAUGAAA